GGGGUUGUGGCUCAAUGGUAAGGUGCCUGCCUAGCACACAGAAGGCUUGGGUUAGAUUCCUAGCACCACUA
rnacentral:tRNA from 1 species